rnacentral:rRNA from 1 species
UGGGGAAUUUUGCACAAUGGGGGAAACCCUGAUGCAGCGACGCCGCGUGAUUUAGAAGGCCUUCGGGUUGUAAAAAUCUUUUGUAUGGGAAGAAAAUGACAGUACCAUACGAAUAAGGACCGGCUAACUACGUGCCAGCAGCCGCGGUAAUACGUAGGUGGCAAGCGUUGUCCGGAAUUAUUGGGCGUAAAGCGCGCGCAGGUGGUUUAGAAAGUCUGAUGUGAAAGCCCACGGCUCAACCGUGGAGGGUCAUUGGAAACUAAUAAACUUGAGUGCAGGAGAGAAAAGUGGAAUUCCUAGUGUAGCGGUGAAAUGCGUAGAGAUUAGGAGGAACACCGGUGGCGAAAGCGGCUUUUUGGCCUGCAACUGACACUGAGGCGCGAAAGCGUGGGGAGCAAACAGG